AGCGCGUGAGAUGACACUGAUGGAUGAACUGGAAGCUCGUAUAGAGCGUGAGAUGGAACUGCUGGAGCAACUGGAAGGUCGCUACACAUCAUGUUCUGCAGGGUGUCCAGCGGGAACGUACUGCAAUACGGCCCGACGCCAAUGCCUUCCUUUUUAAUCACUAAAUAACCCGACAUGUGGCCCGACGGAUUCUGAAUCAGUUUAACACAUUUUGUGGUUGUGGGUAUUCU